AUGAUUUGUUCUGAUGUAUACAAAGCCCUCCGCCCUCCCCAAAAAGUGUACUUAAGCAGUGCUCAGCCCCUGCUCGGGGCUCUGGGCUGCUUUCCCUUCUUGAGUGGGCACGGAGCCCCAGCAUGCUGGUUCAAUAAAUCCCCUUCUGCCAAUUGCAUGAGUGGUCACUUGGUGGUCUCUUUCUCCGACGCUUCGCCUGACCCUUACAUUUGGUGCGUUGGCCGGGAAAAGCGCAUCGCCAGACAAGGAGACCUCCAACGGACUCCUUUAGGGGGUAAGUAAGGUGCCUCUUCUUCUUCUUCUUCUCCUUCUCCUUCUCCUUCUUCUCUCCUCCUUCUUCUCCUUCUUGUUUUUUCCUUUGCGAUCGCUUAGAGCUUUUUGGUUUUUGGCUCGGUGGAGAGCGUGAGCUCUCAGAGCUUUUUGGUCAGGUUUGGUUUUGGGCUCAGUGGAGAGCGUGAGCUCUCAGAGCUUUUUUGUUCGGGUUCGGUUUCUCGGUUUGGGUUGGCAGAGUGGUUGCCAGCGGAGAGUGUGAACUCCCCCUGGCGGUGGUGGGCAGACGUGUCCUUUAAGCCACAGGCCACGUCCUUGCAAGGGACGCCUUGCAAGUACUCGGGGAGGGGCGGAUGGACCCUCAUUCAGUGAGAAGGGAUUCUGCUGCCAACCCAUCAGGUCUUGCCGGCUACUUUUCUUCUCAGGUUGAGUUCACUGUUUGCCUUUAAUCUUUGCUUCUAAACUUGUGUUAAACGUUUACUGUGUGUCCGUGUUUGUGUCACGUUUGUAUUGUCCCUGUCUCUGCCUGAGUAACUCCCAGUAUGGGACAAAGCCAUUCCACGCCUCUGUCCCUGAAGCCUUUCUUGGUCCCUGCCUCCACUCCGACCCCUUCCCCCAAGAUCCUAUCACUCAAUCCUUCUGCUCCUCCCCCUUUUCCCUCCAUUCUCCCUGAGUCACAAGAUUGUAGAUCUUGGGGUUGUGAACGAACGGGAGCUGCAUGAUGAUCUUUGUG
rnacentral:lncRNA from 1 species